rnacentral:rRNA from 1 species
AUGGGUGCCGGCCCUGCACGCCAAAUGUCUGCAGCAGGAUCGACCUCUUCAAGAACUCCGGGAUACCGGCCGCCAUUGCCACAUCCUCCUGAUCGAUCAACCAUUAUGCAGCAAAAUCAGACGCGAGAAUGCAACCAGCAAGCACUGCAGGAAACAGCUAGGGAUUGGAGGUUGGAUCGAGCAGCGGUGUGUCACCAUGGGGUGGAAGCAGGCGCCGAAGUCGUGCGCCGCGACGAAGACGUGGUCGGCCCCGGCGGAGCGGUUCCAGAAGGGCAUCUGGGCGCGGACGAGGCCGACGGCGUCGGCCAGCAGCCCGCGCGCGUGCGCCAGCGACGGGAGCCCCGUGGGCGUGGAGAAGUUGCAGCAGACGUAGACGGGCACGAGGAAGAGGUCGGCCUCCUCGGGGCGCAGGCCCGCGCGCCGCUGCCGCAGCAGCAGCGCCUCGUGCACGGCCACCUCGGCGGCGAAGAGGUGGCGCGCGCACCGCGCGUCGGCGGCCGCCCAGCCCCGGUUGAAGCGCGGCGGGAGGUCGUAGGCGUAGAUCCGGACGCCGGGGAGGGGCUCGGAGCCGGGGCCGCGGAGGGAGGGGGGCAGCGCCGGGAGGAGGAGGUAGGCGGAGACGGCCAGCCAGAGGAGCCACCGCCACCUGUAGAAGUGGCGCUUCCUGAGCCUGUCGAGGAGGUGGCAGUGGCGCGGCUUGUGGGCUCUUGCUGUCUUGAGCUUCGGGUCUCUCAUGGCGAGAGAGGGCUUCGUCCGAUCGAGCAUCAGAGCCAAGUGUUAGGCUGCGGACAGUAG